UUGGUAACCUGCCCCAAAGAGGGGGAUAACAGUUCGAAAGGACUGCUAAUACCCCAUACGAUCAUCAGGGUUAGAUACUUGAUGAUUAAAGGAGUAAUCCGCUUUGGGAGGGGCCUGCGUCCCAUCAGCUAGUUGGUAGGGUAAUGGCCUACCAAGGCGAUGACGGGUAGGGGACCUGAGAGGGUGGCCCCCCACACUGGCACUGAAAUACGGGCCAGACACCUACGGGUGGCAGCAGUAGGGAAUAUUGGACAAUGGGCGAAAGCCUGAUCCAGCAACGCCGCGUGCACGAUGAAGGUCUUCGGAUUGUAAAGUGCUUUUAAGGGAGAUGAGAAAGGACAGUAUCCCUUGAAUAAGCCUCGGCGAACUACGUGCCAGCAGCCGCGGUAAAACGUAGGAGGCAAGCGUUAUCCGGAUUUAUUGGGCGUAAAGCGCGUGCAGGCUGUUUGGAAAGUUGGAUGUGAAAGCUCCUGGCUUAACUGGGAGAGGUCGUUCAAAACUACCAAACUAGAGAAUGGGAGAGGGAAGUGGAAUUCCGGGUGUAGUGGUGAAAUGCGUAGAUAUCCGGAGGAACACCAGUGGCGAAAGCGGCUUCCUGGACCAUUUCUGACGCUUAGACGCGAAAGCUAGGGGAGCGAACGGGAUUAGAGACCCCGGUAGUCCUAGCUGUAAACGAUGUAGACUUGGCGUUGGCGGAGUUAAAUCUGCCAGUGCCGGAGCAAACGCGUUAAGUCUACCGCCUGGGGACUACGACCGCAAGG
rnacentral:rRNA from 1 species